AAUAAACGCUGGCGGCGUGCCUAACACAUGCAAGUCGAACGAGAAAGUUCCUUCGGGAACGAGUAAAGUGGCGAACGGGUGAGUAACACGUGAGAAUUUUCCCUUUAGUGAAGGAUACCUUCGAGAAAUACGAAGUUAAUACUGCAUACGUCUCUUCGGAGAGAAAGGACGGCCUCUUUGUCUGCCGCUAAAGGAAUAAGCUCGCGCACUAUUAGCUAGUU
rnacentral:rRNA from 1 species